GACGUAGGUGGCGAACGUUAUCCGGAAUUAUUGGGCGUAAAGGGUGCGUAGAUGGCCCGAUAAGUUAGCAGUGGGAAAUCGAGGCUCAACCUCGUGGAAGCUGGUAAUACUGUCAGGCUCGAGUGCAGGAGAGGUUAACGGAACUCCAUGUGGAGCGGUAAAAUGUGUAGAUAUAUGGAAGAACACCAAUAACGGCGAAGGCAGUUAACUAUUCUGUUACUGACAUUGAGGCACGAAAGCGUGGGGAGCAAAACGG
rnacentral:rRNA from 1 species